GUGGGGAAUAUUGGACAAUGGGCGAAAGCCUGAUCCAGCCAUGCCGCGUGAGUGAUGAAGGCCUUAGGGUUGUAAAGCUCUUUCAGUAGGGAAGAUAAUGACGGUACCUACAGAAGAAGCCCCGGCUAACUUCGUGCCAGCAGCCGCGGUAAUACGAAGGGGGCUAGCGUUGCUCGGAUUUACUGGGCGUAAAGGGCGCGUAGGCGGACAUUUAAGUCAGGGGUGAAAUCCCGGGGCUCAACCUUGGAACUGCCUUUGAAACUCCUGGUCUUGAGGUCGAGAGAGGUGAGUGGAAUUCCGAGUGUAGAGGUGAAAUUCGUAGAUAUUCGGAGGAACACCAGUGGCGAAGGCGGCUCACUGGCUCGAUACUGACGCUGAGGCGCGAAAGCGUGGGGAGCAAACAGGAUUAGAAACCCCGGUAGUCC
rnacentral:rRNA from 1 species